GGUACAACGCAAAAAUAACUACUGCAGACAAAAUAAUAUUUUUACUUAUAUACACAUUACACAUAUUAAAUUAGACAAUAGCUAAUCUAAUCAUUUGCUUUGCAACUUUUUCCCAUUGAUAUAAAUCUCGAUAAACGUAUAUAUGCGGACAUUUUUAUCUACCUAAAUAAUAUUCACAAUACUCGCCCAACCGUUUAGUUACUCGUGAAAGGUACUAGUGACUGCACGUGACAUAUAAAUUAACUCAAAAUGUGCUUAACGUGUGUCUGCAGUCUUCUAUGCAAAAUCAUCAGUUUUAUUAUUUCCGUACUACUUAUUGUCGGUUUCAUCCUCCUCAUUUUAUGGUUGACGGGAAUAAUCUUUUCAUCAGGCGACUCAGGAACGUCUAAUUCAACUACACCGACUAUCCUACGGGAUACCUUAAAAUUGGGUAACGGAGCAUAAUGAACAAGGAAAAUAUGAAGAUUAUAUGGGAAACUAGCUGCUGUCCGCGAUGUCAUCUGCGUAAGCGCUAUACAGGAC
rnacentral:misc_RNA from 1 species